GCGGGCGCUAAAUGAUGACGCAGAGCGCGCGCGGGGCGUUUCAGCCACUGGAGAAGUAGGCUGAGGAAAGGAAUCGGGGUCUGGGUGUGCGACGUUCGGCAAGAUAUCGCUGAGCUAGGUGGGACAGCCAGAUUUCAAAGAUGCCAGGACGGUCCAGUACAAAUUCAGGUUCUACUCGUUACAUAUCCUUCAGUGGUGUAGAGUCAGCUCUCUCCUCCUUAAAAACCUUCCAGUCCUGUAUCAGCUCUGGGAUGGACACAGUUUCUAGUGUUGCCUUGGACCUUGUGGAGACCCAAACUGAAGUGAGUAGUGAGUACAGUAUGGACAAGGCCAUGGUUGAAUUUGCUAAAAUGGAUCGAGAACUAAACCAUUAUGUUAAGGCUGUCCAGUCUACAAUAAAUCAUGUAAAAGAAGAACGUCCAGAAAAAGUACCAGAUUUAAAAUUACUGGUGGAGAAGAAAUUUUUGGCUUUACAGGAUAAGAACUCUGACGCCGACUUUAAAGAGAAUGAAAAGUUCGUGCAGUUUAAGCAGCAGCUGCGGGAGCUGAAGAAGCAAUUAGUGAAACCCAGAGAAGAUGGAAGACACAAUGAAUUCGACCCGAAUAAGGAUUCCAGUAGAACAGGCAAUGAACGAGAUGGUAUUCAUGCAGACAGAGAGAAUGAUGGGAUAGAAGGAAUGGAUGAAGAUAUGAUUGUGACCCAGAGCCAAACCAAUUUCAUCUGCCCCAUAACACAGUUGGAAAUGAAGAAGCCAGUGAAAAAUAAAAUGUGUGGCCACACAUACGAAGAGGAAGCCAUUGUUCGCAUGAUUGAAUCCAAGCAUAAGAGGAAGAAGAAGGCUUGGAAGUUGGAACUCAGACCCAGGGGACAGCUUCAUCAUUCAGCAGAUGGCAGAGCAUCCAGAAUUUAAGAAAGAAACUACUUACUGGUGGACUCAGUCUAUAGAGCACUAGAAGAGCCGUAGGUGGUGAGGAAUGGAAGACACACACCCCAGCCCUCUGUCCUGUAUUUGCCAAUAACUCUUCAGGUCCUGGAAUCUUUUGUUUACUUACUUAUUUGAGGGUCUUGCUACAUAAUCCAGGCUACCCUUGAAAGCCCAGUGUCCUUCCUUAGCCUCUGGAGUGCCCUCUGGACCUUUCCUUGGUUCUCUGAUUAACUGAGGGUGUGAAGCUCUAUGCUUUAGGUUCUGAGCUGAAUUUCUUUGUUAUCAGUACCUGUCUGUCAUUUCCUAGACAAAAGAGGGGACUUCUCCAUCACCAAGGGGGAGAAAAUACCCUACACCAAUGAUAGGCUCCUUCUGCCAGAUGCCAGAGCAAAACCAUGACUACGUGAUGCAAGGCUUUGUGGACCACUGAAAAGCAAUGCACCAGCCCCUUACUACCACCUCACAACAACCCACUGGAUUACAAACAUAAGAUCUUCAUUGUAAUCUCUUCCUUUACUCCCUUUCCCCUCCCUCCAGCUGCCUGUGUCAAUCCCAGCCCACCCCAGGUCAGAACCUCUUGAAGUCCCAGUUCUGAGAUAGAUACAGCAUUCCAGGCCCUACCCUGAAAGGACUCCCUGGUGCCACAAAGUAAUGAAGCUCUCGUUCUCAGAGCAACAUGAGAAGCUCGUGUUGCCAGAUGCAACCUCCCCUCUGACCUCCCGGUGCUCUGCUGUGGUCUCCCAUCUAAGGCAUAUGUGUCCCCAACACAUUAAGUUUCUCACAGUCAGACCCAGGAUCUCUUCAUGAGCCACUUGAAGUGCUGAUUAGAAUUCAGACUCCCAGGUCCAUCCUAAGCCCAGUUAGCUAGACUCCUGGGCCAGGGCCCAGGGUUCUGACACUUCACAGGUGACAUCAAGGUAUACCUGAAUGGACUCAUGUUUGAUUUAUAGAGCCAAACAGAGCACAAAUAUACAGAUAGCCACUCACAGCUUCUUAACAUUAUAUUCUUUUCUUAAAUCUAUUUUAUUUUUAAUUAAAAUAUGAUUAUGUCAUUUCCCUCUCAUCCUCCAACCCCUCCCAUGCCUCAUGAAGCUAAUGGCUUCUUUAAGAAAUUAUUAGAUAGAUAGAUAGAUAGAUAGAUAGAUAGAUAGAUAGAUAGAUAGAUAGAUAGAUAGAUGAUAAAGAUUCUAAGUGAAAAAGCUCAAAAGACUGUGUAGUGACACACUCCUUUAAUCCUACCUAGCACUUGGGAGACAGAGGAAAGUAGAUGUCUAAGAGUUCCAAAACAGAUCUAUAGAGUGUAACUGUGUCGAAGAAAAGAAGCAGGAAUGUAGGCCGACUGUCCUGUGGUUGGCAGCACUUACUGCUUGCAAAGAGCCGAGGUUUGGCUCCCAGCAACCACAUGGUAGCUCAUGAACACCUGUAACUCCAGAUCCACAGGAUCUGACAUCCUCGUCUGACCUCUGAGAACAUGAAGAGUGUACACAGUGCCCUUCCAUAUGCAAACAAAAACACACCCAUAAAAUAAAAUAACCUUUUCUUGUUGAUUUGAGGCAAGAUUGGCACAGUAGCCUUGACUGGCCUGGAACUCAGAGAUCUGUAUGCCUCCCUAGUACUGGAACUAAACGUGUGUGUCACCACGCCCAGCCACUCUACUUUUUGAAGAUCCUUAGAUAAAUAUGAAGUAUUGGCUACCCUGUCUUUUUAACUUCUACUUUUUCCUUUUCUUUUCUUUUUUUUUUAACAUCCUCAUGAGCUGAAGGACUCCCUCCCAAUUUGAUUGAUGAAUCUCUCUUGGCCAGGGAAGAUUUCACUGUUUGGCUUGGGUUUGAUGGUUCUCCUGAGAGCAUCUUUUCACAUCUGUCUCCCAGGGCUCAGCCUCGAGUGAAGUGUCAGUAAGACAGAGAGAUAGAAACACCUUCCAUCCCUCCUCACCAUGCCAACCUUUGUGUCAUGUGUGUUGGAAGUAUACAGAUGUAUUAUGGUUCGAAUGUGAAAUGUCACACACACACACACACACACACACACACACACACACACGAGUUGGGACACUUGGUUCCUACUUAGUGACGCCACUUUAGGAGGUUGAGCCUGGCUGGAGGAAGUUUGUAUCUUCCGGUUCCCUCCUGUGUUUCCUACUUCCCAACCCAGCAUGGGUGGCAGGAGUCACUGUCACAUGGUCCUGCUUCCUUCCCAGGUGUCAUGCCUUCCUGGCCAUGGUAGACAGAUAACUUCCUGAUGAAACUCUCAGCCAAAACAAAGCUUUCCUCCCUCAUGUUCUUUCUGUCAGGGAUGAAAAAGAAACUAAUGCUGGGGGUUUGACGGAGACCUCCAGUCACCCACCCCGUGCACCAGACACUCCACUCAGAGCGAGCCUCAGUUAAUGUGUGUGUGUGUGUGUGUGUGUGUGUGUGUGUGUGUGUUGAAAUUUCCAAGACUGUGCUUCCUGACCACCAAUUGUUCAAGUGUUCCCAUCACACUUCUGUCACCGCUUGCUCCUUAUGCGAUUGUUUUAAAAGGUGUUGACUUUUGAAAAGCCUUGUCCUAACUGAUAACUCACAUGAAAAUCACCACGGUUUACAGUUGGGAGUACUGAGAGGAACCCACGGCUUCAUGAAUGCUAAUUAAGUAUUCUACCAAGUUCUAGUUCCAGUCAGGCAUUUUUGAGGCACUUUACAUCCUCCUGGCUGUUUGCUGGAGGGUUCUUGCAGGGAUGGGGGCCCAAAACUUCUCUACUUACCAGGGCUCUCCCACGACCCUCCCUCUAAGCCCUACCCAGCACUAAACUAAGAAGUCUCUUGACAUUGCACCAAUGCCAGCAGGAAGCAAGUUUUGGCUAGCCAUCAAGGCAUGCUAGCCCGCCCACUGCGACCGGCCAACAGCGCUGACUUCCACAAAGAGUGGUUUGUGCUGACCGAUGAAUCUGAGCUUCACACGAGAAGUCUGAGCCGGACAAAUGCUACGUUGGGGCUCCCAGUGUUGUCGGCCCUGGGUCACAUCACCAGAGCUCAGUCGUGAGUUCCAGACAACUUCCAGUCAGUAAACAUGAGCUCACCAGCUUGUCCCUAUCUGCCUGUGUCCAAGCAGGUGACAUCCCCUGCCUGUCUUGGGCACUUCUCAGGGAGAAGACAGCUUGAGUCCCAGGAACCCUUGCAGCUACAGAUCUAUUUUCCCCUUGGGUCUGUUUGUCUUUGAAAUAACAUGUAACUCAUAUUGAGCACAUGUCAAGGGAGGCUGUGUGCUGCCAGCCAAGGAAAACAAGCUAAGGUGUGCUGAUAGCUGGCUGGCAGUUUAUGAUUUACCUGAGGACAAACUGACACCAGUCACACUUUGAGGGGCUGCCUCGGAGGGUGCAUUCAAGCCACAGAUGGUCUGUUCUCGCUCCCUUCAGCUCUGUGGAGAUGGACACUCAGAAGCAAGGUUUGGGGAAGUGGAGUGUUCUUGGAACAGCUGGAUGUUCAGAGGACAAGUGCCAGUUUCGAUUUCUGACCUGAGCCGCCUCCCAUUAGCUUCUCCUCACCCAGGAGCCUUUAGCUGUGCAUGGAAGAGGGGUCCUCUACUUUGCUUGCCUCUUGGAAAUGUAUCCAGCCAGGUUGAAUCAAACACUGUGCACAGAGACAGGGCAGGGUGGAGACAGGCCCUGUGGAACACCGCUCUGAUAUUGGGUGGGAGCACGUAUGGCUGGGGCACUACCCUGCCUUCAGAGAACAGGUGCUCUGAGCCUGAGUUCCUGAGGAUGUAUGAAGACUGUUGCAAAGUACCAACUUGCUUCAAAACAGCCAGGAUGACGUAAGCUGCCUCAAAAACGACAGACAAAUACUCGAGGGCUUGGUCCAGCCCUUACCUUGGGUUCCUUCCAGUAACUCGAGGACAGGCAGGGAGGAAUCAGUAUUGAAGUGGGGUACUGUGUCUUGGCUGUUCAUUCAAGCAUCCCCCCAAAGAUGCACAGGCUGCAGGCUAGAUCCCCAGAGCGGCUUUCUGGCAAACAGUGGACUUUCUUCUUUUUUAAAUUAUUCACUUAACAUUCCAAUAUCAGGACCCCCUUCCAGUACUCCCUCACAGAGAUCAUUCUCAAUUGCCCUUUCCUCCUAUGAGAAGGGGAGGCCUCCCUUGGUUGUGUGUGUGUGUGUGUGUGUGUGUGUGUGUAUAUGUAUGUAUGUAUGUGUGUGUGUAUGUGAUGUGUGUGUGUAUGUGUGUGGUGUGUGUGUAUGUAUGUGUGUGGUGUGUGUGUGUGCGGUGUGUGUAUAUGUAUGUAUGUGUGUGUGCUGUGUGUGUAUAUGUGUGUGUAUGUGUGGUGUGUGUGUGUGUAUGUGUGUGGUGUGUGUUUGUAUGUGUGUGGUGUGUUUGUAUGUGUGUGGUGUGUAUGAGUGGUGUGCGUAUGUAUGUGUGGUGUGUGUGUGUAUAUGUGUGUAUGUGUAUGUGUGGUGUGCGUGUAUGUGUGUGUGUAUGUGUGUGUGUAUGUAUGUGUGUGUAUGUGUGUGUAUGUGUGUGUAUGUAUGUGUGUGUAUGUGUGUGUAUGUGUGUGGUGUGUGUGUAUGUAUGUGUGGUGUGUGUGUGUAUGUGUGUGUGUAUGUAUGUGUGUGUAUGUGUGUGGUGUGUGUGUGUAUGUGUGUGGUGUGUUUGUAUGUGUGUGGUGUGUAUGUGUGGUGUGUGUGUGUGUAUGUAUGUGUGGUGUGUGUGUGUGUGUGUGUGUGUGCUUUCGCGCGCACACACGCACGCACGCACGCAUGUGUGCUCCCCAGCACAUCAGUCACAGCAGGAUUAGGUGCAUCCUCUCCCAUUGAGGCCAGACAAGGCAGCCCAGCUAGGCCAUUGGAAUCCACAGGCAGGCAACAGAUUCAGGGACGGUCAUCAUUUCAGUUGUUAGGGACCCACAUGAAGACCAAGCUGCUCAUCUGCUACACAUUGCAGGGGCCUAGGUCCAGCCCAUGUUUGCUCUUGGUUGGUGGCUCAAUCUCUGGGGGCCACCCAGGGUCCAGGUUAGUUGACCCAGUUAGGGUCUUCCUGUGGAGGCCCUGUCCUCUUUAGGUCCCUCAGUCCUUUCCCCAACUCUUCCACAAGACUCCCCUGCUCCAUCUAAUUUUUGGUUGUGAGUCUCUGUAUCUGUUUCCAUCAACAGCUGGGUGGAGCCUCUCAGAGGACAGUUAUACGAGGCUCCUGACUGCAAGCAUAACAGAGUAUCAGUAAUAGUGUCAGGGAUUGGUUCUUGCCCAUUGGGUGGGUCUCAAUGGUGAGUCAUUGCUUGGACACUCCCUCUGUCUCUGCUCUCUGCUCUCUUUGUCCCUAUACAUCUUGUAGGCAGGACACAUUUUGGGUGGAAGGUUUUGUGGGUGGGUUGCUGCCCUUAUCCCUUCACUGCGAGUCCAGCUUUAGAAAGUGGCCACUUCAGUCUCCAUAUCCCCCACUGCCAUGAAUCUCAGCUAGGGUCACCCACAUAGCACCCUGGGACCUCCCCACCACUGUCCUAGAGAUGCCCCCACUCCGAUUUCUGUUCUCUCCUCUGCUCUCCCUACCCCUGAUCCCCCACCCCCUCUCCCACCCAGUUCCCUUCCUCCAUCCACCUUUGAUAUCUAUUUUAUUUCCCCUCUGAGAAAGAUUCAAGCCUCCUCUCUUGGUCCUUCCUUGUUAUCUGGCUUCUUUGGGUCUGUGGAUUGAUAGCAUGGUUAUCCUGAACUUUACGGUGAGUAAGUGGUGAGGCCUGGAAGGAGGUCUUUAGCUCUUAGAAUCAGUUGUGGGUACCUCAGCCCUUUCUGGCUUCCAUGUUCCAAGGCGUGAUAUCCUCCUGCUGUUACCCACACUGAGGUGACACAGCCAAGGAGAGAGCAGGACCCAUUCUGAUAAUUCUGUUAGUGUUAAGAACUGUGAACUAAACCAACUUCUUGGCCUUUAUAAAAUUAGCUUGUCUGCGGUAUUUUCCUGUAGUAAAGAAAAGUAAACGGGUAGGUUAAUUGUGAAUAUAAAGUAUUUAAGGGAUUUUUAUAAAUGUAUUCAUAAAAUAAUAUAAAGAUGUGCCUUUCCACAAAAUGUGAUCCUUUUCAGGUUUAUUAUGAAAGGUCAAAUUGUGUUCCAGGUCAGUGAAACCCUUCAGGAUAUAGUACUCAGGAAAUAUUUUAUGACUUGACUUGGCAAUGAAAAAGGGCUGAUUUGGAGAAAUGGGAAUGGCCAACAUAAGCACAGAAGCUGUACCCCAGAAAAAAGGAUUAGAAGGACAAAGAUCAGAUAAAUGAGCAGACAGGGUCCUGUUGUGGGUUCCAGCAGAGGGACCUAGAGGUGACACUGAAUACAUGAUUUCUGUCUGAGUCUUCAAGGUCUGUAGAAAUGUUAGAUGCAUCCGGUGGCUCAUUUGGGAAACAGCCCUGAGGAGAAAACUCUCAGUUUUCAAAAAAAAAAUAGAAAGAGAAAAAGAAGAGAAAGAAGAAGAGAGAUGACAAAAAGGCCGAAGUGUAAGAAAAAGGACCCAGGGACAGGUAAACCAGAAAAGAACCAGGAGCUUCUGGAGCUAACUCUGCCUUCCGUAAGGAAGGACCACUGAUUGGAGCCCAAGAGCAGAGCAUAAGCCAUGCAGUGCCCUGAGAAGAGAGUACAGGCACUCAACCCACAGAGUACAUUGCAGGGCGCCUGCAAACCACCUGUACCUGCGUUAGGACCUGAGCGGGGGUCUUCCCCCCAACAGUGAGGAACGCUGCUGAAGGCUCUUUCUUGGUAGAGCCUCCCUCUUUACUGGAGAAGCUUGGUAAAGGAGGGGCAAAGGGUCCAACUCCUCUGCUGAGGUCUUUGUCGCAGUUGCAUUAACCCAGUCUGCUUCCUUCACCCCACGGAUGUUGUUCCCAAGAGCUCCUCACGCCUCCCACAUGAGCAUCCCCAUCUCAGGAUCUGUUUCCAGGGAAACGAACACAAGGCAAACCAGUCUUUCAUAACCGCGGUGUCUGCUCUACGUCAACACCACUAGGGUCCUGUGGGAAGAGUGAACUAGCCUGGAAACCCCAUGCUCAUCGUCUUGCACCUGGAGGGGCGGGUGCAUUAGAAACUAGUCAAGAGGACAGGAAGCAUAGAGGGAGGCCAUUGCUAGCCUAUGCGGAGGAGGGGAUCCCAGGAUUUCCAGAUUUGAAACACAUCCUUUUUAGCAUUUCCAGACACCGCGAGCUAGCGAGCGAGCGAGUGGCUCUCACCAUCCGGAAACUCUUCCUACUUCAAAGCCAGAAUCCCUCCUUCCUUAAAGCGUCCCCACUUCCUUUCCCCUUUUCCUCAUGUGGCUGUGUUCUUGCCAGCAAAGAAAGUUGAAAAGGAACAAAGGCAUAUGGUUUUCCUAUUAAGACUGACGCCCACGUGUGAGGGGAGCCAGAGGGGAGCGUUCGAAUAAGGGCAACGGAAAUACGUUUAUGUGACAUUCAUUUUGUAGGCUGGUUUUUAGAAAGCUUACCACAAACAAUGAGAGUUCUCCUUUGUUCCGCUCAUUACAUUUUUGGAAUAUUUAGAAUAUUCUGGAAACACGGCUACAAAAAGGCAGGAGAAUUCAGGAGACCCCGCUACAAAAAGGCAGGAGAAUUCAGGAGACCCUGGGUCUGGCUUAUCACCCUGGGUCUGGGUGCAGACUUAAUUCUGGGGUGCAGACUUAAUUCUGAGCUGCACAUGGUGGCGCAGACCUGGAGUCUCAGCUACUCAGCAGGGGUGAGGUAGUGGCCGUCACCUGAGCCUGGCCAGAGCCACACUGGAAGAACCCAUCCCGUCCUACCCCCUCCCUCCUAAGUCUAAUUUCUGCCAGACAUUAGCUGUGGACCUACCAUGGUAUAUGCUCAAAAUUCCCUACACUCAAGAGGCUGAGGCAGAGGGAUUGUGAGUUUGAGACCAGCCUGGAUUACAUAGAGAGAGAAACCAUGUCUCAAAAAAGCCAAGGGGCUGAGAGAAAGCCAUCCUAAACUCUGGUUAAAGAGCUCACUAUGUGAACCCAAAGAUAAGAACUGGGGUUCAAAUCCUCAGAGCUCACAUAAAUACUGGGUUGCUGCGGUGGCUUUGAUAAUCCUCAGCUUCCCCUAUGGGACAAAGGGGGUCACUUGCCUUAUAGGGUCCUUGCCUAGUGCAAAUGUCCUUGCAAUGGAAAAGAUAGGGGAGGGAGACAAAGAGAGGGGGUGGGAGGCGGGAGGAAAGACAGAAAGACAUGCAGCUAGAAGGGAAGUGUCACUCAGGCCAGAGCUAGACCUCACUUGGCAGAGGGCUCACCUAGCAGGGUCUUUUCUACCAUGCUGUGUGCCCUGAUCGAGCUGGCCCACUCCCCCUUCCAUCUCAGCAGAGGAUGGCUGCAGUUGUUGACAUCUAGCUACUUUCUGUACAUUCCGAGGACAGUUUGGCAGGCUUUUGUGGCAAGCACCUUUACCUCCACAUCUCCUGCUCAUGCCUGAAAACGUCUGUUGUGCAUAUAAACCUCAUUUUCCUUACCCAGUCUGCUGUUCAUACAGGGUUGCAAUAAACAUUGAUUUGCAAA